CCUACGGGGGGCUGCAGUGAGGAAUAUUGGUCAAUGGGCGAGAGCCUGAACCAGCCAAGUCGCGUGAGGGAAGACGGUCCUAUGGAUUGUAAACCUCUUUUGCCGGGGAGCAAAAAGCGGUACGUGUACCGCAUCGAGAGUACCCGGAGAAAAAGCAUCGGCUAACUCCGUGCCAGCAGCCGCGGUAAUACGGAGGAUGUGAGCGUUAUCCGGAUUUAUUGGGUUUAAAGGGUGCGUAGGCGGUUCGAUAAGUUAGAGGUGAAAUCCCGGGGCUCAACUCCGGCACUGCCUCUGAUACUGUCGGGCUAGAGUUUAGUUGCGGUAGGCGGAAUGUAUGGUGUAGCGGUGAAAUGCAUAGAGAUCAUACAGAACACCGAUUGCGAAGGCAGCUUACCAAACUACGACUGACGUUGAGGCACGAAAGCGUGGGGAGCAAACAGGAUUAGAUACCCUUGUAGUC
rnacentral:rRNA from 1 species